AAACUGAGAAUAAUGCCCGAUAGAACAUUAUGCCUGGAAUGGUUUAUGUUUCAAAUGAUUUAUCGCCAUAGGAUGGGACUGCGGCCUAUCAGUUUGUUGGUGAGGUAAUGGCCCACCAAGACUAUUACAGGUACGGGCUCUGAGAGGAGUAGCCCGGAGAUGGGUACUGAGACACGGACCCAGGCCCUAUGGGGCGCAGCAGGCGAGAAAACUUUGCAAUGUGCGAAAGCACGACAAGGUUAAUCCGAGUGGUUUCUGCUAAAGAAACCUUUUGUCAGUCCUAGAAACACUAACGAAUAAGGGGUGGGCAAGUCCUGGUGUCAGCCGCCGCGGUAAAACCAGCACCUCAAGUGGUCAGGAUGAUUAUUGGGCCUAAAGCAUCCGUAGCUCGUUUUGUAAGUUUUCGGUUAAAUCCAUGCGCUUAACGUAUGGGCUGCCGGGAAUACUGCAUAACUAGGAAGUGGGAGAGGUAGACGGUACUCGGGAGGAAGGGGUAAAAUCCUUUGAUCUCUUGAUGACCACCUGUGGCGAAGGCGGUCUACCAGAACACGUUCGACGGUGAGGGAUGAAAGCUGGGGGAGCAAACCGGAUUAGGUACCCGGGUAGUCCCAGCUGUAAACUAUGCAAACUCAGUGAUGCAUUGGCUUAUGGCCAAUGCAGUGCUGCAGGGAAGCUGUUAAGUUUGCCGCCUGGGAAGUACGUACGCAAGUAUGAAACUUAAAGGAAUUGGCGGGGGAGCACCACAAGGGGUGAAGCCUGCGGUUCAAUUGGAGUCAACGCC
rnacentral:rRNA from 1 species